rnacentral:rRNA from 1 species
UGGGGAAUUUUGGACAAUGGGCGAAAGCCUGAUCCAGCAAUGCCGCGUGUGUGAAGAAGGCCUUCGGGUUGUAAAGCACUUUUGUCCGGAAAGAAAUCCUCCGGGUUAAUACCUCGGGGGGAUGACGGUACCGGAAGAAUAAGCACCGGCUAACUACGUGCCAGCAGCCGCGGUAAUACGUAGGGUGCAAGCGUUAAUCGGAAUUACUGGGCGUAAAGCGUGCGCAGGCGGUUUUGUAAGACGGAUGUGAAAUCCCCGGGCUUAACCUGGGAACUGCAUUCGUGACUGCAAGGCUAGAGUAUGGCAGAGGGGGGUAGAAUUCCACGUGUAGCAGUGAAAUGCGUAGAGAUGUGGAGGAAUACCGAUGGCGAAGGCAGCCCCCUGGGCCAAUACUGACGCUCAUGCACGAAAGCGCGGGGAGCAAACAGGAUUAGAUACCCUGGUAGUCCACGCCCUAAACGAUGUCAACUAGUUGUUGGGGAUUCAUUUCCUUAGUAACGUAGCUAACGCGUGAAGUUGACCGCCUGGGGAGUACGGUCGCAAGAUU